AUGCCGCUGAUCUCAAAAAUGUCCACGUCGGGUUCAGUGCUCAGCGAGACACGGGGCAUUCCUUAUUUCUGUCUCCUCCUGCUGUGCCUUCCAGGCGUACAGUCCGAUAUCCUGCUGAAACAACCGGAGUCAGCUGUGUUAAAGCCCGGACAAUCUCACAGAUUGACCUGUGCAGUCAGUGGGUUCAGCCUCAGCAACUAUAACAUGUACUGGCUGAAACAGGUCUCCGGGAAAGGACUGGAGUGGCUGGCCGCUGUAUCGGCUGGCGGAAGCAAGAAUUACGCGCCGGGAGUCGAAGGCCGAUUCGAGGUAUCCAAGGACAGCAGCACCGUUUAUCUGCAAAUGAACAACCUGAGACUGGACGACACGGCCACCUAUUACUGUGCGAGAGACACAGUGAGACAGAUCGGCGGUCGACCGUGA